rnacentral:tRNA from 1 species
GCAGGGGUAGCCAAGCAUGGCCAACGGCGCAGGACUUAAGAUCGAAAUAAAAGAAAGGUUCGUGUGAUGAGACAUCCUGUCUCGAAGGAGUCCGAGGGUUCAAAUCCCUUCCCCUGCA